GUCCACGCCGUAAACGGUGGGUACUAGGUGUGGGUUUCCUUCCUUGGGAUCCGUGCCGUAGCUAACGCAUUAAGUACCCCGCCUGGGGAGUACGGCCGCAAGGCUAAAACUCAAAGGAAUUGACGGGGGGCCCGCACAAGCGGCGGAGCAUGUGGAUUAAUUCGAUGCAACGCGAAGAACCUUACCUGGGCUUGACAUGCACUAGAAAGCCGUAGAGAUACGGCCCCCCCUUGUGGUUGGUGUGCAGGUGGUGCAUGGCUGUCGU
rnacentral:rRNA from 1 species